rnacentral:rRNA from 1 species
UCCAGACUCCUACGGGAGGCAGCAGUGAGGAAUAUUGGUCAAUGGGCGGGAGCCUGAACCAGCCAAGUCGCGUGAGGGAAGACGGUCCUACGGAUUGUAAACCUCUUUUGCCGGGGAGCAACGGGGUCCUUGCGAGGGCCCGAUGAGAGUACCCGGAGAAAAAGCAUCGGCUAACUCCGUGCCAGCAGCCGCGGUAAUACGGAGGAUGCGAGCGUUAUCCGGAUUUAUUGGGUUUAAAGGGUGCGCAGGCGGAUUUUUAAGUCAGCGGUAAAAUCGUGGGGCUCAACCCCAUCCAGCCGUUGAAACUGGGGAUCUAGAGUGUGCGAGAGGUAUGCGGAAUGCGUGGUGUAGCGGUGAAAUGCAUAGAUAUCACGCAGAACCCCGGUUGCGAAGGCAGCAUACCGGUGCACAACUGACGCUCAGGCACGAAAGCGUGGGUAUCGAACAGGAUUAGAUACCCCUGUA